AUCAGUAGAGGUUGCGUCUUAAAUCAGUAUUACUUUUUAGCAGACAUGCGUUAGAAGAAGUAAGAAAGGGUGAGACGCCGAAGGAAACGGCUCGGUAGAAAUGUUUCUUGGGACUUAGUAUAAGAUGCUAAGUACUGUCAGUAAUAUGAUGCGCUAC
rnacentral:ncRNA from 1 species